UACGUAGGCAGCGAGCGUUGUUCGGAAUUACUGGGCGUAAAGAGUGUGUAGGUGGUGUCGUAAGUUUGGUGUGAAAUCUCCCGGCUUAACUGGGAGGGUGCGCCGAAGACUGCGAUGCUGGAGUAUGGGAGAGGAAAGCGGAAUUCCUGGUGUAGCGGUGAAAUGCGUAGAUAUCAGGAGGAACACCUGCGGUGUAGGCGGCUUUCUGGACCAUUACUGACACUGAGACACGAAAGCGUGGGUAGCAAACAGG
rnacentral:rRNA from 1 species